AUGGCCCAUGCCAGGAACAGGAGGAACUACCACCUUGCAAUUCAGGAGCAGCAGUUCGCAGAGCCACCGCUACCUGGCCAUGAAGAGCAGUGCUACACGCCACCGAUGGCAACCCCGGCAUUCAAUCCAUCUUGUAGCUCCAAUUUCCCGAGCUUUGCAGGCUCAUCGUCACUGCCGAACUUGCCAUUCGGAUCGGCAAUGGUGAAGAACGAGCUGGGGCAACCGUCUCCGCCGCCAUCAUCCAACUUCCUCUCCUUCGGAGCUGGCCAGGCUAGCACCCUGAACUUUUCCGGCUGGCAGCGAGACAGAGUCCAAGGGACGAUGCAGCAGCUGCAGGCGCCUGAGAGGCGGGGCAGGGCACCGCAAGAGCACGUCAUCGCCGAGCGCAAGCGGCGGGAGAAGCUGCAGCAGCAGUUCGUGUCGCUGGCCACCAUCGUCCCCGGCCUCAAGAAGACUGACAAGCUCUCUCUGCUGGGGAGUACCAUCGACUACGUGAAGAACCUGGAGGAGAAGGUGAAGGCCCUGGAGCAAGGCUCACGGAGGUCAUCAGAGUCCAUGGUGUUCGAUAGCAAAUGCUGCAUAUCCGCUCCCAACAACGAUGCAGCAGGCCCCAGCGGGAGCCGCUCCGGGUCAGGGUACUCGAGCCCGGACAUUGAGGCCAGCAUCCGAGGGAACACGGCACUCCUGAAUAUCUGCUGCAAGAAGAGGAGAGGGGUGCUGGUGAUGAUCCUGUCCGAGCUCGAAAACCAGGGCCUGUCUAUCAUAAACACCAACGUCAUACCGUUUACGGACUCCUGCCUCAACAUCACCAUCACGGCAAAGAUCGAAGAGGGGGGUUUGUCCGCAGUUGAGCUCGUGAAAAACCUGAAAAUGGCCCUCAGAAGUCUCAGCUGGAAGUAG
rnacentral:rRNA from 1 species